rnacentral:lncRNA from 1 species
GGUCAACUAAAAAGGCUGAUUCCCACAAGGAUUCUCAUGACCUUCCUAAGAGCACCGGCGACGUUAAAUCAACAGGAGCUGGAGAGAUAUCUCAGUGGUUAGAAUACUGGCUGUUCUUCCAGAGAUCCUGAGUUCAAUUCCCAGCAACCACAUGGUGGCUCACAACCAUCUGCCCUCUUCUGGUGUGUCUAAAGACAGGAAGUAUGCCAUAUGUAUGCAGUACCAGCAGAGACCAGAAGAGGGUGGCAAGUCCCCUGUAACUGGAGUCACUGACAGUUGUGAGCUGUUGUCUUUUGCAAAAGGAGCCCUGUUCUUAA